rnacentral:lncRNA from 1 species
AAAUCUAGUCCAAACAAUCAAGCUGUGGUUAAUCAGAUUUCUAAACGUGUUUCUAAGAUGGACCAGAAUAUAGAUCAGAAGCAAGACAUUGAUGGAAGUGUUGGUAACUUUAUGCAGACACUCAACCCCACUCAAUACCAACAUCUGAUGAGCAUGUUGAGCUCUCACCUUAAGGCUGCAAAACUAGACUCAGAGACAAGAACUAGUUCCGGGAAAGAAUCAGGUGCCUACUUCUCAAUAUCUAUUAAUCCAUCCUUCAAAUCAUCUAGACAUUGGGUGGUAGAUUCA